rnacentral:rRNA from 1 species
GACGAACGCUGGCGGCGUGCCUAAUACAUGCAAGUCGAACGCAGUGGGGACGGGUGAGUAACACGUGGGUAACCUCCCAUCAGAGGGGAUAACACUUGGAAACAGGUGCUAAACCGAUACUGAUGGAUGGACCCGCGGGGAAUUAGCUAGUUGGGGGGGUAACGGCUCACCAAGGCCACGCUGCAUAGCCGACCGGAGAGGAUGAUCGUCCACACUGGAACGGAGACACGGCCCAGAUUCCUACGGGAGGCAGCAGUGGGGAAUCUUCGACAAUGGACGAAAGUCUGACCGAGCAACGCCGCGUGAGUGAAGAAGGUUUUCGGAUCGUAAAGCUCUUUUAUUAGGGAAGCGGUAUCUAACCAGGAAGCCCCGGCUAACUACGUGCCAGCAGCCGCGGUAAUAC